CACUAUCGUUAACUGAAUACAUAGGUUAACGAGGCGAACCGGGGGAACUGAAACAUCUAAGUACCCCGAGGAAAAGAAAUCAACCGAGAUUCCCCCAGUAGCGGCGAGCGAACGGGGAGCAGCCCAGAGUCUGAAUCAGCUUGUGUGUUAGUGGAACGGUCUGGAAAGUCCGACGGUACAGGGUGAUAGUCCCGUACACCAAAAUGCACAGGCUGUGAACUCGAAGAGUAGGGCGGGACACGUGGUAUCCUGUCUGAAUAUGGGGGGACCAUCCUCCAAGGCUAAAUACUCCUGACUGACCGAUAGUGAACCAGUACCGUGAGGGAAAGGCGAAAAGAACCCCGGCGAGGGGAGUGAAAAAGAACCUGAAACCGUGUACGUACAAGCAGUGGGAGCACCUUCGGGUGUGACUGCGUACCUUUUGUAUAAUGGGUCAGCGACUUAUAUUCUGUAGCAAGGUUAACCGUAUAGGGGAGCCGCAGGGAAACCGAGUCUUAACUGGGCGUUAAGUUGCAGGGUAUAGACCCGAAACCCGGUGAUCUAGCCAUGGGCAGGUUGAAGGUUGGGUAACACUAACUGGAGGACCGAACCGACUAAUGUUGAAAAAUUAGCGGAUGACUUGUGGCUGGGGGUGAAAGGCCAAUCAAACCGGGAGAUAGCUGGUUCUCCCCGAAAGCUAUUUAGGUAGCGCCUCGUGAACUCAUCUUCGGGGGUAGAGCACUGUUUCGGCUAGGGGGUCAUCCCGACUUACCAACCCGAUGCAAACUACGAAUACCGAAGAAUGUUAUCACGGGAGACACACGGCGGGUGCUAACGUCCGUCGUGAAGAGGGAAACAACCCAGACCGCCAGCUAAGGUCCCAAAGUCAUGGUUAAGUGGGAAACGAUGUGGGAAGGCACAGACAGCCAGGAUGUUGGCUUAGAAGCAGCCAUCAUUUAAAGAAAGCGUAAUAGCUCACUGGUCGAGUCGGCCUGCGCGGAAGAUGUAACGGGGCUAAACCAUGCACCGAAGCUGCGGCAGCGACACUAUGUGUUGUUGGGUAGGGGAGCGUUCUGUAAGCCUGCGAAGGUGACCUGUGAGGGUUGCUGGAGGUAUCAGAAGUGCGAAUGCUGACAUAAGUAACGAUAAAGCGGGUGAAAAGCCCGCUCGCCGGAAGACCAAGGGUUCCUGUCCAACGUUAAUCGGGGCAGGGUGAGUCGACCCCUAAGGCGAGGCCGAAAGGCGUAGUCGAUGGGAAACAGGUUAAUAUUCCUGUACUUGGUGUUACUGCGAAGGGGGGACGGAGAAGGCUAUGUUAGCCGGGCGACGGUUGUCCCGGUUUAAGCAUGUAGGCUGGUUGUCCAGGCAAAUCCGGAUAAUCAAGGCUGAGGUGUGAUGACGAGGUACUACGGUGCUGAAGUAACAAAUGCCCUGCUUCCAGGAAAAGCCUCUAAGCAUCAGGUAACAUCAAAUCGUACCCCAAACCGACACAGGUGGUCAGGUAGAGAAUACCAAGGCGCUUGAGAGAACUCGGGUGAAGGAACUAGGCAAAAUGGUGCCGUAACUUCGGGAGAAGGCACGCUGGUGUGUAGGUGAAGUCCCUGCGGAUGGAGCUGAGACCAGUCGAAGAUACCAGCUGGCUGCAACUGUUUAUUAAAAACACAGCACUGUGCAAACACGAAAGUGGACGUAUACGGUGUGACGCCUGCCCGGUGCCGGAAGGUUAAUUGAUGGGGUUAUCCGUAAGGAGAAGCUCUUGAUCGAAGCCCCGGUAAACGGCGGCCGUAACUAUAACGGUCCUAAGGUAGCGAAAUUCCUUGUCGGGUAAGUUCCGACCUGCACGAAUGGCGUAAUGAUGGCCAGGCUGUCUCCACCCGAGACUCAGUGAAAUUGAACUCGCUGUGAAGAUGCAGUGUACCCGCGGCAAGACGGAAAGACCCCGUGAACCUUUACUAUAGCUUGACACUGAACAUUGAGCCUUGAUGUGUAGGAUAGGUGGGAGGCUUUGAAGCGUGGACGCCAGUCUGCGUGGAGCCAACCUUGAAAUACCACCCUUUAAUGUUUGAUGUUCUAACGUUGGCCCCUGACCGGGGUUGCGGACAGUGUCUGGUGGGUAGUUUGACUGGGGCGGUCUCCUCCCAAAGCGUAACGGAGGAGCACGAAGGUUAGCUAAUCCUGGUCGGACAUCAGGAGGUUAGUGCAAUGGCAUAAGCUAGCUUGACUGCGAGCGUGACGGCGCGAGCAGGUGCGAAAGCAGGUCAUAGUGAUCCGGUGGUUCUGAAUGGAAGGGCCAUCGCUCAACGGAUAAAAGGUACUCCGGGGAUAACAGGCUGAUACCGCCCAAGAGUUCAUAUCGACGGCGGUGUUUGGCACCUCGAUGUCGGCUCAUCACAUCCUGGGGCUGAAGUAGGUCCCAAGGGUAUGGCUGUUCGCCAUUUAAAGUGGUACGCGAGCUGGGUUUAGAACGUCGUGAGACAGUUCGGUCCCUAUCUGCCGUGGGCGCUGGAGAAUUGAGGGGGGCUGCUCCUAGUACGAGAGGACCGGAGUGGACGCAUCACUGGUGUUCGGGUUGUCAUGCCAAUGGCACUGCCCGGUAGCUAAAUGCGGAAGAGAUAAGUGCUGAAAGCAUCUAAGCACGAAACUUGCCCCGAGAUGAGUUCUCCCUGAGACUUUAAGUCUCCUGAAGGAACGUUGAAGACGACGACGUUGAUAGGCCGGGUGUGUAAGCGCAGCGAUGCGUUGAGCUAACCGGUACUAAUGAACCGUGAGGCUUAACCUU
rnacentral:rRNA from 1 species